UACGUAGGGUGCAAGCAUUAAUCGGAUUUAUUGGGCGUAAAGGGCGCGUAGGCUGGAAUGCCAGUCAGAUGUGAAAGCCCGGGGCUCAACCCCGGAACAGCAUUUGAAACUACAUUCCUAGAGGGUAGGCGGAGAAAACGGAAUUCCACAAGUAGCGGUGAAAUGCGUAGAUAUGUGGAAGAACACCAGUGGCGAAGGCGGUUUUCUAGCUUAUACCUGACGCUGAGGCGCGAAAGCAAGGGGAGCAAACAGG
rnacentral:rRNA from 1 species